UAACUGGAAANUGGGGCCUGAAAGUGC
rnacentral:piRNA from 1 species